GUGUGAUGCUUUUGCCGGGGACAGAACAGGAAUGGAGUCUUAGAAUUUAAUCUAGUUUUAUCCAAGAAGGAGUGGGGGGUGCACCUGGUUUAGAACUCUUGCUGAAGUUAAAGGGCACAAUCUCUUGCUACACAAUCUCUCUGGGGAAGCUGCACAUAUGGAGAAACUACAAAUGAGCUAUCUGUGACUCCUGAGCCAAGGGUAAGCCACAGGGUUCAUAGACCGCUUUACAGGACUUAAGGAAGUAUAUAUGGCCAAAAUGUGAAGAAAGUAUUCCUGGUUCAUCUUUUAGGACUUGCUAGACAGCAAGUUACAAUACGAAAGAACUCAUUUGCCCAGGAGAUGCACUCAAGAAUAUCAUGUCUACAUUUGGCUGAACGGAACUCUAAAGUCUUCUGAUUAUUUAUUACCCACAAAAGCUCAUCCUAGAGCUGGGAAAUUAUUGCUAAAAUAUCAGUGACUAUUCUUUCCAAUUUUAAAAUAAAUUCCUUUGACUGCGUUCACAUUC